rnacentral:misc_RNA from 1 species
UUUCCGUAGGUGAACCUGCGGAAGGAUCAUUACUGAGCGCAGGUUCCUCGUUGACCGAUCCUCCCACCCUUGUAUCUUGAAAAGUCUGUUGCUUUGGCGGCCCCACUGGGAAUUUAUAGUCGCCGAGGGGUCUUGCGCCACUGGGGUCGUGGCUGCCCGAGCGACUUUGAACCCUAAUGAAGUUGUAUUGUCUGAGCAUGAAUGAAAAAUAACAAAAGUUUCAAUAAUGGCUGUCUUGGUUAUGGCAUCGAUGAAGAAAGAAGCCACUCGGCAGAGCAC